AAGCACUGCCUUUGAGCCUCAUGUGUGUUGCUUGUAGCUUCAUUGGCCAAGCAACAGUGCUAGAGCUUAAGCACUUGUUAUAACUGGGGUUCUUCUGCUCUCAACUGCUCCUUUAAAAACAAGGUGCAUUU
ensembl:snoRNA